ACACUUACUGGACAGUGGAGAGACUGUGAUGGAGAAGGUGACCUUCCCGAGGUGAAGCCCAUCCAUUGCACUUGGGAUGAGCUGACCCCUAGAUUUCCCCACUACCACAUAAUAUGUGAUAAUGGGGAACUUCACUGAUGUCCUCCCCU
rnacentral:snRNA from 1 species